rnacentral:rRNA from 1 species
AUCCUACGGGAGGCAGCAGUAAGGAAUAUUGGACAAUGGGCGGAAGCCUGAUCCAGCCAUCCCGCGUGCAGGAUGACGGCCCUAUGGGUUGUAAACUGCUUUUAUGAGGGAAGAAUGUUAUCCAUUUAUGGGUAUUUGACGGUACCUCAGGAAUAAGCACCGGCUAACUCCGUGCCAGCAGCCGCGGUAAUAAU